UACGGAAUGUGCAAACGUUAUUCGGAAUCACUGGGCUUAAAGAGUCCGUAGGCGGCAUGUUAGGUGAGGUGUGAAAUCCCCCGGCUCAACCGAGGAAUUGCGCUUCAAACCGGCGUGCUAGAGGAAGAUAGAGGUGGGCGGAACUGAUGGUGGAGCGGUGAAAUGCGUUGAUAUCAUCAGGAACACCGGAGGCGAAGGCGGCUCACUGGGGGUCUUCUGACGCUGAGGAACGAAAGCCAGGGGAGCGAACGGG
rnacentral:rRNA from 1 species